rnacentral:tRNA from 2 species
GGAGGAGUGGCCGAGAGGCCGAAGGCGGCGGUCUUGAAAACCGUUGAUGCGCAAGCGUCCGUGGGUUCGAAUCCUACCUCCUCCGCCA